rnacentral:rRNA from 1 species
AUACGUAGGGAGCGAGCGUUGUCCGGAAUUACUGGGUGUAAAGGGAGCGUAGGCGGGAGUGCAAGUCAGAUGUGCAAUACAUGGGCUCAACCCAUGGGCUGCAUUUGAAACUGCAUUUCUUGAGUGAAGUAGAGGUAAGCGGAAUUCCUGGUGUAGCGGUGAAAUGCGUAGAUAUCAGGAGGAACACCGGUGGCGAAGGCGGCUUACUGGGCUUUUACUGACGCUGAGGCUCGAAAGCGUGGGGAGCAAACAGGAUUAGAUACCCUGGUAGUCCACGCUGUAAACGAUGAUUACUAGGUGUGGGGGGACUGACCCCUUCCGUGCCGCAGUUAACACAAUAAGUAAUCCACCUGGGGAGUACGGCCGCAAGGUUGAAACUCAAAUGAAUUGACGGGG